rnacentral:misc_RNA from 1 species
AUAAAUAUAGAAGACCUUCAAGGUCUCUCUAACAUUUUGUGAAUUGUUUAUCGUCUCUGGCGAGUUUACGCUCGCCAUUGUAUACUUUGUAUAAAAUUAUUGUCUAUAAAAGCUUUUUAUUUAAUAAAAAA